UCCAAGUUCCAAUCUCCACCGUUCUCGUUCUCUCUCUCCCUCCGUUUUCUUUUCCGCGUGAAACUCCUCUCCCCGGCCGAUUCCCUUUUCCCCUCGUCAGAUCCGAGACGACGAGUGGCGGGCGGCGGCCAUGGCCGUGUGCAAUGGCUCUCGGCGGAGGCCAGCGCGACGGGGCAGCGGGCAUCGCUCCACAGAGGCACCCUCCUGCUCGCGACGACGCUGGUGGGGAGGUCCUUGCUGUGGGGCACGCGGCGCGCGGAGAUAGCGCAACUCUGCUGCGACAUGGGUCAACGGCAGCAGCCUAGAUCCGGCAGAGGGGAACGACACACCGGCGGGUGCAUGAACGCGCGCAGUCCGGCGAGGGAUCAGCGCGUCCCGGUGAGUGCGUAGCCCAGCGAAAUUUGUUCCUGCCCAAAGGGGAGCUUCAGCGGAUGCCUGGUUUGUUUCGACAGAAAGAAAUGGAUCAUAGCUGGUGUACCUUGUCUUCAUGAAGCAACUUGAAAGUUUUUGCAGACCUAUACAAGAGUGUCGGCAUUAGUUAGAUGGAGGAGCUAGAGGCUGACGAGGUUCAAGGCCGGGCGGAUGGAGGAGAUGGUGCUCAAGAGGUGGCUGGAGCUCGAGAACAGCUUUAGGAACAUGCAUGCGGAGAUUGAUUCGAGCAUAGUGCCUGAGAAAUGCAUUGCAUCGAUCAGUGUUUGGACAAGUUGGAGUUGGCAACAAUGAUGAUCACUGCUCUGCAGUACAGGAAUACAGAUUCGUUUUUUUGGAAACAGCUCUAUGCAGAAAAUUUCCCAAGUUGCUUGUGGAUGGAGACACACAUUUUGCCCUUUAUGAAAAGUGAACAUAUUUUAUUUUGAUGAAGGGGUAGUAGCAGACAAUUCGGCAGUAGCAAAAUAGUUAAGUGGUGGUUCCUAUCUAGUGCACUUGGUUUCUUUGCUAUCUUGCUCUUCCAGGCUAACAAUUUUAUCGACUUGCACCAUAUGAAGGAAAUGUGCCGGAGCCUUUAAGCCCAGACGGUUCUGGCUACAAGAAUUUCAGAAGCUCCAUUUGCAGGAAUCAGAUUGUGCUCUGGUAGUUGUAUCUUUUCAUAGGUGUUCGUGCACUAAGCCUUUUCCAUUCUGCCUCCCUAUUUCCAUAUCAAGAUAUCACUUUGGCCGAUGAGGGCAGGCCAUGCAUAGGCACAGUUAAAUCAGAACAAGAGACGGGUGACACUGAAACAGUAAUCGCAGUGGCGUCGCAGAUGCCACCAGCAGAAAAUGUGGUGGGGGAGGGGGGGCACGCCCGGCUUUACUUUUACCUUUUUUUUCACACGGUGUAUAUGCUAGUCCAACAAGGCAUCUGCGCCACACCAACCCUUCUGUCUCCCUUCUCCUAGCCGCACCGGAAGGAGAUCCGAGUGUCGCCGGGCAGCAACAGGAGCCGGAAGCCGAUCGAGCCGUACGAGAGCGGCUCUGCGAGGAUCUGAGAAGCCGGGAGGGUAGCAGCGGCCGGCAUCUGCGGGGGUGCGUCACCGGCACCCGCGCGAAGCUGAGAAGCCAUGGAUCCGAGAAGCUCCAAGGUCGGAGCACGGAGGCGCGUGGAGAGUGGGGGAUUCGCAAACAGAGGUGCAGGUUCCUACCCGGAGAGUCGGAUCGGACGCAACUCACCCGUGUCCGCGCUGUGGUCUUCGCCCGACCAGGCAAGAUGAACCAGCCGCAGCGGCCGAGGGGUCUGGCACAAAGGCACCGUCAAGGAGGAAGGUACGGGUGCCAGUACAGGCUGGAGGACCAAGGAAGGUGCGCAAACCAGUCAUGGCCAGAUCAAACCACGGCAGGCAGCAGUUAGAUGGUGGAAGAGAUUUGUUCGUGCUUGCCCGCAACAUAACGCUGCCCCCAGAGCUCGUACAAGUCAUCUCCUGGGUAGGAAAUUCAGGGCUUGCGGCAUACGUCUGCCGCAUCACAGGCAGAAUGGCUGAUAGAGGAAUCAUGUUCUUUAACAAGGAGUGUACUUCAAGAUGCAUUAAGAAAUCAGAUAAAACCAUGACACUUUCGAACGGGGAAUGGUGCAUGGCUUUCCACGGGAAGAUCAAGAACUACAGGGACAGAAUUGCAAGGUUCACCAGCGGAUGGAAGGUAUUCGCCGAGUCUAUCGGCAUUACUGUGAACUCAGCAUGUUUGUUCAGCUUCUGCCGCUUCCCGAAAACUGGCUUGCAUGCGACCGUUUUCAUCCUGGCAUUAUGAUCGCCUCGACGGCCGUGGCUUUUUUGGCAAGCCACUGGUUUUACAAUAUAGCUAGCAAUUAGCAGAUUAAUUAAGAUAAUAA